rnacentral:rRNA from 1 species
CAGUCGCCGCGGUAAUACGAAGGGUGCAAGCGUUAAUCGGAAUUACUGGGCGUAAAGUGUGCGUAGGCGGUUUGUUAAGUCUGUUGUGAAAUCCCCGGGCUCAACCUGGGAAUGGCAAUGGAUACUGGCAAGCUAGAGGAUUGGAGAGGUAGCUGGAAUUCUUGGUGUAGCAGUGAAAUGCGUGGAGAUCAAGAAGAACACUCGUGGCGAAAGCGAGCUACUGGACAAUAACUGACGCUGAGGCUCGAAGGCCAGGGUAGCGAAAGGGAUUAGAUACCCCAGUAGUCCCUGUCUCUUAUAC